rnacentral:rRNA from 1 species
CCUUGUACACACCGCCCGUCACACCACAAAGUUGUUUGUACCCGAAAUUGCUUUAGCUAACCUGUAAAGGAGGCGAGCGGCUAAGGUAUGGGACGAUGAUUGGGGUG